GUUAAGCGACUAAGCGUACACGGUGGAUGCCCUGGCAGUCAGAGGCGAUGAAGGACGUGCUAAUCUGCGAUAAGCGUCGGUAAGGUGAUAUGAACCGUUAUAACCGGCGAUUUCCGAAUGGGGAAACCCAGUGUGAUUCGUCACACUAUCAUUAACUGAAUCCAUAGGUUAAUGAGGCGAACCGGGGGAACUGAAACAUCUAAGUACCCCGAGGAAAAGAAAUCAACCGAGAUUCCCCCAGUAGCGGCGAGCGAACGGGGAGCAGCCCAGAGCCUGAAUCAGUGUGUGUGUUAGUGGAAGCGUCUGGAAAGGCGCGCGAUACAGGGUGACAGCCCCGUACACAAAAAUGCACAUAUUGUGAGCUCGAUGAGUAGGGCGGGACACGUGGUAUCCUGUCUGAAUAUGGGG
rnacentral:rRNA from 1 species